rnacentral:rRNA from 1 species
AAUAUUGCGCAAUGGGGGAAACCCUGACGCAGCAACGCCGCGUGAGCGAAGAAGGCCUUCGGGUCGUAAAGCUCUGUCAUAAGGGACGAAGUCCCCGUAAGGGGGGUGACGGUACCUUAGGAGGAAGCCCCGGCUAACUACGUGCCAGCAGCCGCGGUAAUACGUAGGGGGCAAGCGUUGUCCGGAAUUAUUGGGCGUAAAGGGCGUGUAGGCGGUUAAUUAAGUCAGGUGUGAAAGACCGGGGCUCAACCCCGGGAUUGCAUCUGAAACUGAUUAGCUUGAGGGCAAGAGAGGAAAGCGGAAUUCCUAGUGUAGCGGUGAAAUGCGUAGAUAUUAGGAGGAACACCAGUGGCGAAGGCGGCUUUCUGGCUUGACCCUGACGCUGAGGCGCGAAAGCGUGGGGAGCAAACAGG